rnacentral:rRNA from 1 species
AUUGAACGCUGGCGGAAUGCUUUACACAUGCAAGUCGAACGGCAGCACGGGUGCUUGCACCUGGUGGCGAGUGGCGAACGGGUGAGUAAUAUAUCGGAACGUACCUAGUAAUGGGGGAUAACUAGUCGAAAGAUUAGCUAAUACCGCAUACGCCCUGAGGGGGUAAAGCGGGGGAUCGUAAGACCUCGCGUUAUUAGAGCGGCCGAUAUCUGAUUAGCUAGUUGGUGGGGUAAAGGCCCACCAAGGCGACGAUCAGUAGCUGGUCUGAGAGGACGACCAGCCACACUGGAAACUGAGACACGGUCCAGACUCCUACGGGAGGCAGCAGUGGGGAAUUUUGGACAAUGGGCGCAAGCCUGAUCCAG